GGGAUGUUCCCAACUCCCCUGGGCCUCCUCCAGCAUCCCGCGGGUGAGCUCCAGGAGCGGCUGGAAGAGGUGCUGGAAGCCGUGCUGGGGGUGCAGGGGGUGCCGGAAAAAGGGAUACAGAUCCCGGGAAAAGCGGCGGGACGGCGGGGGAGCCGCACCCGCUGCACGGCGGGAGGGCGGAAAGAUUCCCGCAAGGAUUCCCGGAACCCCCCGAAGGGCGCCUGGAAAAAGGGGAGGGCGCGGCCGAAGGGGCGGGAGCCGUCCUGGAAAAUCCCGUCGAUCCCGUCCUCCAGGAGCCCGAAGCGCUCCUCCAGCUCCUCCAGCUCCCGCUCCUGCCGCUCCACGAGGCCGGAGCCGCUGUGGCAGGUCCGGGAGUAGAAGCGGACGCAGGAGCGCUUGAGGCAGGGCUUGCACUGCUCCCACAGCGCCUGCACCGUGUCGUUGCACUCGUCCUGCCGCUCCGCCAGCUCC
rnacentral:lncRNA from 1 species